UGUGGUUUAAAACUCUACAAAAAAAUUCUUUCCAAUUAUACCCUUGAGUUAUUAUGGGAUUUUCUAUUUCAUGUAAUUGGGUCAAGGUAGAUAAUUGACGGACAAUAUUAUUUUUUUAUAGCAUUUUAACUAGCUAGGAGAAUAAAAUUUUUAUUGUUAUGUUCACUAUUUUCUCACUUAAAUUAUUUGAGAGUAAAUAAUUGUCAUCUUA
rnacentral:lncRNA from 1 species